GUCAUUUCCAAUAGUCUCGUUUGUUGAGGGGGUACAUCUUGACAAUUUGGGGGAUCCUGGCCUACGGGAUGCAUCAGCAGCAGCGGUGAUGGUAGCAGUGGUAGCAGCAGAGGAAGCAGCAGGAGCAGCAGCCGCCACCGCCUCCGCGGUGGCUGCACCGCGCGCGCAAACCGCGCUAGGUCCACCGGGCUCCGCGAGGUUGUCUGCCUGCGUGGAGAGGCGGGGCUUGGCGCCUGAGGGAGUGGCUUGGCGCCCGGGGGCGGGGCCCAGCGAGCAGGACUCGGGCUGUCUGCUCUCGGCGGCGGCGGCACCGGCUGAGGGCACAGCCAGCGGGCGGCGCGCCGCGGACUCCCAGGCAGCCCGCCGAAAGAAUCCUGAAUUUCACCAUGAAGAGACUGUCGCCCAGCCUUCUCAUCUAGAGAAUUAUUCUCAGGAUCUGCAGACAGGAGGACUUGGAAGUGAAUCAAAAAAAGAAAAGGAAAAUUUGGAGUGAUGUAUUAAUAGAUUCAGAAAGAAUGUCUUUCUCCAGAAAGAAAGCUUAUUCCUAC
rnacentral:lncRNA from 1 species